GAUGAACGCUGGCGGCGUGCCUAAUACAUGCAAGUCGAGCGGAAAGGCCUCUUCGGAGGUACUCGAGCGGCGGACGGCUGAGUAACACGUAGGAACGUACCCCAAAGUGAGGGAUAAGCACCAGAAAUGGUGUCUAAUACCGCAUGUGCUCUAAGGAGUAAAGCUUCGGCGCUUUGGGAACGGCCUGCGUCUGAUUAGCUUGUUGGUAGGGUAACGGCCUACCAAGGCAACGAUCGGUAGCUGGUCUGAGAGGAUGAUCAGCCAGACUGGGACUGAGACACGGCCCAGACUCCUACGGGAGGCAGCAGUAGGGAAUUUUCCACAAUGGGCGAAAGCCUGAUGGAGCGACGCCGCGUGCAGGAUGAAGGCCUUCGGGUUGUAAACUGCUUUUGUUAGUGACGAAUUUGACGGCAGCUAACGAAUAAGGACCGGCUAACUACGUGCCAGCCGCCGCUGUAA
rnacentral:rRNA from 1 species